CAAGGUACGCCGCUGCCUAGCUGGGAAACCGAACGACCGGGCCUCGAACACUGCCUGCUAUUUCUCAUCGGCACUAGUUUAAUGCAAGCCUUCAGGAAGAGUCCACUCUGCGCAGGGGCCCUGGCAUGGAGCUCUGCCGGGGAUGCAGAGCUUACAGAUGCUGUCUUGGCCUGAAGAAACGCUUCCACCAAACAACAAGACGAAGUAAGGAAAUUUGUCCACAUGCCCUGAUUUCAUGUAUUUUUCCCUCUCUUCAAAGGACUUUAUGUACUAUACAGAAAAGGAAUGGUAAGAGUGGGCACCUUUGUAAAAGAGGAAAAGCUUCCAGUUUUUCACCACUGAGUAUGAUGUUAGCUGUGGGCUUGUCAUCUGUGAGGCAUGUUGAGUAUUUUGAAUACAUCAUUCCACUCCAUCUUGGCCUGUAAGGUUUCUGCUGAGAAAUCUGCUGAUGGCCUUAUGAAGAUUCUCUUAUAAGUGAUAAUACCUACAUUUCACAGGGACGUUAAGGAAUCUUCGCACUGGAUUCUGGACAAUCUUUCUCUAGUGCUUAGUUCAUCUUCUGCCGAAAGAAGAUGAUGUUUUGCUGAAACCCUGGUGAUCCAGGAGAGAACUUGGAACUCUUCCCAGGCAGGAAGGCCCCUCCCCCCACACACAGGAUAUGGUUGUGGGAGUCAGUGAUGCCAAUGACAUCCUGAGUGAUAUGGAACCUUCUUCCCUGUUCAAGCACCGUGGAUAAGAGCUGUAGCUCUCAGUGGACAGCUAAGGCUUCUUUCUCCCACCCACCCCCACCCCCCGCCUCCUCCAACUGGGGCAAUAGUUAAAUGGAAAGUUAGAAAAGUGGUGCUAAUUCUUCAACAGGCACAGAUCUAUUGAGACCAGUCACUUGUAAGAUACAAGUCAGUAUCUAACACUAUAUUCUCUCUGGCAUCAACUGAAGAGGAAGAAACUCCUCUCAAAUAGAAUAUGACUUGGAACGAAAAACACUGAAUCCUUAUGUUACAGGGUGAGUUAUUUUACAGGGGCGAGACCCAUGCGGACACACUUGACUUUAUGUCAACACCAAUAUCAACAAAAAGUUUUUCACAAGCACGUUAAACUUCAGAAGCCCAAGGCUCUAGGUUUCUGGAACAGUUAACAGAUCUGUCUCCUUGAUCAUGACCAGGACUGUGUUUCCCUUGGUGUUAGUCACUGGGGAGCAGCCAGGAGAAGAUACACAAAUUUGUCUCUUGUUUGGGGAGAAAGUCAUUUCAUAAUUCAGGGAAGUCUUAAUACUUUAAUGAAAAUUAUUUCAAGAAACUACAAAUACGGGUGACAUCUGCAGGUCUGGGACUCCCUUGUGAAAGUGAAGCACAGUGGUCCAGCUACUGAGAAUAAUGACAAACAAAGCCACUUGAAAUAAAAUGCUUUUAAGACACUGGAUAUACGAAUUUGCCUAUAAUGUAAGAAUUUACUAAUUUGGGCCUUCAACAGACACUCCGAUUCCAAGAGCUUGACCCAUGGAACGUUAUUUUGUCGUACAAACAGUGUCAUACAUGAUACUAUGUCAGGAAACAAAAAUCCAUCUAAUCCAUUACAUAUCUAGAACCAUGGGAGUUUGGAGCCCGAAGGGGACUUGGGGACCACUGCUCCAAAGCCUGGAAAGAUUAGGGGUUUAUGGGAAAGAUUAGGGGGCUACAGCCCCCGAAUGUAGUCUCCCAACUCAGGCCAGGAGUUCUUGGCCAUUCUUCUGCUCCUUCUUUCAGGAAUGCUGCCCUUGCAUACCUAGAGGCAGACAGUUCUAAGAACCGCCUUGGCCAGGACUUUCUCCCAGAACCACUGGCAUGGCCAUCUGGCCAGUGGUAGACAAGAAGUACGUGCUCACUCCUGGGCUCGAAGGGUUUCAUGGUUUGUAGUACUGACCACUGAGGCUUGAUGGAACAGGAUGACUUAAAACGACUCUUUGGGAAUCCAGUUCCCGAGAGGUUUCUGGGCUGGCCCCACGCUCUGCAAGCUUGUUCUAUGGCUGGUUAAAGUGCAGAUGGUGCUGACCAUCCCCCACCAGCCACCGAGAUGACAGGUCUGCCUACAGCAAAGGGCUGACUCCAAUCAAGAUAAAGCAUGUUUCAGGGGCGCCUGCGUGGCCCAUCCAGUUAAGCAUCUGACUUUGGCUCAGGUCGUGAUCUCACAGUU